rnacentral:rRNA from 1 species
UACGAAGGGGGCUAGCGUUGUUCGGAAUUACUGGGCGUAAAGCGCGCGCAGGCGGUCUUCCAAGUCAGUGGUGAAAGCCCGGAGCUCAACUCCGGAACUGCCAUUGAAACUGUAAGACUUGAGGAUGAGAGAGGUGAGUGGAAUUCCCAGUGUAGAGGUGAAAUUCGUAGAUAUUGGGAGGAACACCCGUGGCGAAGGCGGCUUUCUGGGACGGUACUGACGCUGAGACGCGAAAGCGUGGGGAGCGAACAGG